UACGGGGGGAGCGAACGUUGUUCGGAAUCACUGGGCGUAAAGGGCGUGUAGGCGGCUGAAUAAGUGGGAUGUUAAAUCCCCCGGCUCAACCGGGGACCUGCAUCUCAUACUGUUCAGCUCGAGCACAUCAGAGGAGACUGGAAUUCCCGGUGUAGCGGUGAAAUGCGUAGAUAUCGGAAGGAACACCAGUGGCGAAGGCGCCUCUCUGGUCUAAUACUGACACUAAAGUGCGAAAGCGUGGGGAGCAAACAGG
rnacentral:rRNA from 1 species